UUUGGAACAAGUUUCCCCCGAGUUACACUUGUCCCCAAAAGUCUGCGCAAUUACACAAUUCACUGCGGCUGCGGCGCGGCCGCGCUGAAGGCCAAAUAUUCUAGCUGUGUUUUAUGGACUACCGCUGUCGCGGUGGAUUUCACCCCAGUCCACUUUUUGCUUCUUUCCGCUCGAGUGCUUCUUGAUUGGACGUUUUCUUCACGCUAUUGACUCCAAAUACUCCAUUGUUCUUCCUAACUUGAAUUAGUCCCUGCGAAGCAAUAGAAUACCAAUUAGAGCAUUUUGUUAUCAUUUCAUCUAUAAAACAAUAAUAAAACAUUGUAUAAUUAAGGUGGAAAUAUCGUCUAUAUAGCAUAAUAUCAACACCCUACACUUAAAUCAUUGCUAGUCCUCUAGCAAUUUGCCACACUCUAUUAAAGUUCCUUCCCUAUGCCUUUCCCUUAGCUGAUCACACCAUGAACAAUUAACCAAGUUGCACCUAGUAGUGAACAACCCUUGCCUCAAAAAUUGAAUCUCUCGUACCAUACAAUAUUCACACUUACUCCAACUACUCUAUACAGAAGUCAAGACUUACAUUUCCUUCGUGAAUCACAUGCCUUCACAUCACACAAGAGAGUAGUUCCACAAUUAAUAUUAUUACGAACAAUUAGGAACUCAGAUGGAUAAAAUUCGCUCACUCUCCAAAAGAACAUUCACAUGCCACAAAGAUGCACCAUAGGCUUGCCCAUAGUGUACUACUCUACUAAUCGAGCCUAUUCAGUCUAAGAUCAGUUAGGACUUCACUUGGUUGUAAUGUAGGCUAAGGGAUGGGUAGGAUAUAUAUGGAUAUGAUGACUAACUUCCCUAAGCACUUUUAAUACAAUCACAUUAACAUUGCACAUCAUACUUAUGUCAACCAGACGUUCCCACUCCUUUUGGUGCAUUUGUAUCAAGCUACCACUUAUCGACUACAUUUAUUCACUUUUUAUGGCACUUCUUCUUUUACUCUUCCAAAAUUGCACCUUUCCUUUAUGUCAUUGGGUCCACUUAAAAACCAAACCACCACCCCACACUUUAACUAUUGCAUAUGUCAAGUCCAUUCAAGUGCUCAUGGGAGGUAAAAGGGGUUCAAACAGAAGGCUAUUCAAAUAAUUAGGUAAGGUUCGCAAUGUGGUUGCCAAAGAAGUAGGAUUAUAGGCUCAACGGGGAUAACUAAGAUGUAUUACAUUUAGGUGGGUUUACUUUAUAUAUCUGGCUUAACAAAGAAAUGCCUAUAUAACUUCUAAGAGUGAAUAGAGCUACUAUUUUGCUUUGCAAACACACAUGGCAAGUUCUAGGCAUCAAAUGUAAAGCAUAGAAUAUAGUAUAGCUCACACACACAUGGGAUAUGGCCCACUCCAGAUUGGUUUAUCAAGAUACUCUCUUUUGAGUAUUCAAGUCAGUUACAAACAUACAAAUUUAAGGUACUUUAGUAAGAGUCAACCACUCAGACUAGGCAUUACACUCUAGUGCCGAUUGUGUUCAG
rnacentral:lncRNA from 1 species